rnacentral:rRNA from 1 species
CCUACGGGAGGCAGCAGUGAGGAAUAUUGGUCAAUGGACGAGAGUCUGAACCAGCCAAGUAGCGUGAAGGAUGACUGCCCUAUGGGUUGUAAACUUCUUUUAUAAAGGAAUAAAACGAGGCACGUGUGCCUUUUUGCAUGUACUUUAUGAAUAAGGAUCGGCUAACUCCGUGCCAGCAGCCGCGGUAAUACGGAGGAUCCGAGCGUUAUCCGGAUUUAUUGGGGUUAAAGGGAGCGUAGAUGGGUUGUUAAGUCAGUUGUGAAAGGUUGCGGCUCAACCGUAAAAUUGCAAUUGAUACUGGCAGUCUUGAGUACAGUUGAGGUAGGCGGAAUUCGUGGUGUAGCGGUGAAAUGCUUAGAUAUCACGAAGAACCCCGAUUGCGAAGGCAGCUUACUAAACUGUGACUGACAUUGAUGCUCGAAAGUGUGGGUAUCAAACAGGAUUAGAUACCCGGGUAGUC